rnacentral:rRNA from 1 species
UGGGGAAUAUUGCACAAUGGGCGGAAGCCUGAUGCAGCGACGCCGCGUGGGGGAUGAAGGCCUUCGGGUUGUAAACUCCUUUCGACAGGGACGAAGCGUAAGUGACGGUACCUGUAUAAGAAGCACCGGCUAACUACGUGCCAGCAGCCGCGGUAAUACGUAGGGUGCGAGCGUUGUCCGGAAUUACUGGGCGUAAAGAGCUCGUAGGUGGUUUGUCGCGUCGUCUGUGAAAUUCCGGGGCUUAACUCCGGGCGUGCAGGCGAUACGGGCUGACUUGAGUGCUGUAGGGGAGACUGGAAUUCCUGGUGUAGCGGUGAAAUGCGCAGAUAUCAGGAGGAAUACCGAUGGCGAAAGCAGGUCUCUGGGCAGUAACUGACGCUGAGGAGCGAAAGCAUGGGUAGCGAACAGGAUUAGAUACCCUGGUAGUCCAUGCCGUAAACGGUGGGCGCUAGGUGUAGGGGGCUUCCACGUCUUCUGUGCCGUAGCUAACGCAUUAAGCGCCCCGCCUGGGGAGUACGGCCGCAAGGCUA